CAAAGUUGCUUACCGAUGAUCUUUUACAUUAUAGAAAUUGCCGAAGUAUCCAAUAAAAAUGAUGGGAUAGACGGAUAAAUAUGGAAUAAUAUAUAUAUAUAAAAUUGUAUAAAAAAUAAAAAAUAUGUAAAGUUUCUUAAUUAAUAUCCGAUAGUGUGUACAAUACUUAGAACUCUGUGCAAGAAAAUAUUUGAUUAGGAGAUCUCAAUAAAAUCAGUUUUACAUAAUCGUUAUUUUACGAUAGUUAAAUAAUAAAUAGUUAAUAAAAUACUAUCUACUGGUUACAUAAUUAUUUCUUAUUAAAUUCAAGUUGCAAAGAUCUGAACUAUUUUUCUCUGCGACGUUUGAGGGGGGUUAUUAAACGAACAGUUGCGAUAAGCAGCGUCAUUCUUUGGACUGGCGUACAAAGCAUAGAUUUAUUUCCCAACUUCUUCUAAACAAUAAAAUAUUCGAGAAGCUAUGUCAGUAUUUUGUAAAAAUAAAUAAUGCCAUUUUUCGCGGAACAUAAGAAAAGUAACAAUCACUUCUUUAUCCUUUAUUUUCAAGAAAUUGUGACGCUUCAAACAUAUUGAUAUUGGUUGUAGCAAAACAGGAUAUUCUGUAAAACCAGUUUUCUCAUUAUGAAACUUACAUAAUACCAUUCGAAUAAACUAUAAAUAAUACGUGCGCGGAAUGGAAAUCACAAUACGUGUAAAUUCUACAAAACGGUAAGACGUAACAGUAAGAUUCAAAUCCAUGCAAAAUUCUUAAAUGAUGUUUAAAAACUAAUUGGUACGUGUGAGAAAUUAAGUUGUGGAAAUAGUGCGUAUGAGAAAAUUUAGAAGAUCGACCAAAAAGUGUUUGUGAGAAAAAAUUGAGGUAGUGAAGAAGUUGCCAAGAAGAAUUUCAACUUCAAUAUUUUUAUUUUUAAAAUAUCGACAUUUUUAUACGAUACAAUGAAAGCAUUCCUUUAUGUUUUCUUAAUAAUGACGCUGAUAUCUAUCAGCAUGAUAUCACUGGGAACAUGCGAUGUAUCUACUGAAGCACCCAAGGAAUUGAUUAAGACACAGACAACACAAUUUACACCUUACACCCGUUCCCCAAAAUAUAAUCGCCGAAGAAGACCGCAUGGGGGUCAUAUCGUACGUGUUCGCACGAAAUCUUUUUAAGUAAUUUGCCCAGAAGGACUACAGAAAGAUCAACAAGAUACAAAGAGGACUAUCGAUGUCUUUUUACAAUAUAGAAAUUACCGAGGUAUCCAAUAAAAUUGAUGGGAUAGGAUAAUAAUAUAUGUGUAAAAUUAUAUAAAAAAUAAAAAAAUAUGUAAAGUUUCUUAAUUAAUA